UGGCGACCGGCGCACGGGUGAGUAACACGUAUCCAACCUGCCGAUGACUCGGGGAUAGCCUUUCGAAAGAAAGAUUAAUACCCGAUGGCAUAGUUCUUCCGCAUGGUAGAACUAUUAAAGAAUUUCGGUCAUCGAUGGGGAUGCGUUCCAUUAGCUUGUUGGCGGGGUAACGGCCCACCAAGGCAUCGAUGGAUAGGGGUUCUGAGAGGAAGGUCCCCCACAUUGGAACUGAGACACGGCCCAAACUCCUACGGAAGGCAGCAG
rnacentral:rRNA from 1 species